GAAACUCGCCUACAUGAAGCUGGAAUUGCUAGUAAUCACAGGUCAGCAUACUGUGGUGAAUACGUUCCCGGGCCUUGUACACACCGCCCGUCACACCAUGAGAGUUGAGAAUACCCGAAGCCCAUGUCAAAGUGGUCGAAGGUAGGCUUGAUGAUUGGGGUGAAGUCGUAACAAGGUAAC
rnacentral:rRNA from 1 species